GAAAAUUACAGGCUCUUACAAGCCCGUAAUCACCUACAGCGAACCCCCUAUGGGGCCCGUCUACAGACUAAGUGGUUGUGGGCAGAGCCUGGAGCUCUGCUUAAGAUAUAGUCGAUACCCACGCUUCGCGGCCUGGGAUAGCUAGUCCGUAGGUGAACCUGCGGAAGGAUCAUUA
rnacentral:rRNA from 1 species